rnacentral:rRNA from 1 species
GACGAACGCUGGCGGCGUGCCUAAUACAUGCAAGUAGAACGCACAGUUUAUACCGUAGCUUGCUCCACCAUAGACUGUGAGUUGCGAACGGGUGAGUAACGCGUAGGUAACCUGCCUGGUAGCGGGGGAUAACUAUUGGAAACGAUAGCUAAUACCGCAUAAUAUUAAUUAUUGCAUGAUAAUUAAUUGAAAGGUGCAAUUGCACCACUACCAGAUGGACCUGCGUUGUAUUAGCUAGUAGGUGAGGUAACGGCUCUCCUAGGCGACGAUACAUAGCCGACCUGAGAGGGUGAUCGGCCACACUGGGACUGAGACACGGCCCAGACUCCUACGGGAGGCAGCAGUAGGGAAUCUUCGGCAAUGGACGAAAGUCUGACCGAGCAACGCCGCGUGAGUGAAGAAGGUUUUCGGAUCGUAAAGCUCUGUUGUAAGAGAAGAACGGGUGUGAGAGUGGAAAGUUCACACUGUGACGGUAUCUUACCAGAAAGGGACGGCUAACUACGUG